UUCAAUAGUGAAAGACGGCCUUGCUGUCACUUAUAGAUGGAUCCGCGCCGUAUUAGCUAGUUGGUAAGGUAACGGCUUACCAAGGCAACGAUACGUAGCCGACCUGAGAGGGUGAUCGGCCACACUGGAACUGAGACACGGUCCAGACUCCUACGGGAGGCAGCAGUAGGGAAUCUUCCGCAAUGGGCGAAAGCCUGACGGAGCAACGCCGCGUGAGUGAUGAAGGUCUUCGGAUCGUAAAACUCUGUUAUCAGGGAAGAACAAACGUGUAAGUAACUGUGCACGUCUUGACGGUACCUGAUCAGAAAGCCACGGCUAACUACGUGCCAGCAGCCGCGGUAAUACGUAGGUGGCAAGCGUUAUCCGGAAUUAUUGGGCGUAAAGCGCGCGUAGGCGGUUUUUUAAGUCUGAUGUGAAAGCCCACGGCUCAACCGUGGAGGGUCAUUGGAAACUGGAAAACUUGAGUGCAGAAGAGGAAAGUGGAAUUCCA
rnacentral:rRNA from 2 species